rnacentral:rRNA from 1 species
CCUACGGGUGGCAGCAGUGGGGAAUAUUGGGCAAUGGGCGCAAGCCUGACCCAGCAACGCCGCGUGAAGGAUGAAGGCUUUCGGGUUGUAAACUUCUUUUUUUAGGGACGUAGCAAGUGACGGUACCUGAGGAAUAAGCCUCGGCUAACUACGUGCCAGCAGCCGUGGUAAUACGUCGGUGGCAAGCGUUAUCCGGAUUUACUGGGUGUAAAGGGCGUUUAGGGGGGACUGGAAGUCAGAUGUGAAAACCACGGGCUCAACCUGUGGCGUGCAUUUGAAACUGUAGUUCUUGAGUACUGGAGAGGCAGACGGAAUUCGUGGGGUAGCGGUGAAAUGCGUAGAUAUUAGGAGGAACACCAGUGGCGAAGGCGGUCUGCCGGACAAAAACUGACGCUGAGGCGCGAAAGCGUGGGGAGCAAACAGGAUUAGAUACCCCAGUAGUC